rnacentral:lncRNA from 10 species
GAACAGUCACUGAAGGCAUUUAAGUAAGUUGCAUGAGAAAAUAACAGAUUCCCAUGGCUCUUAAUCUUGCUACAUUGCCAUGAUGGUUAAUAUUGAGUAUCAACUUGAUGGAAUUGAAGGAUGCAAAGUGUUGUUCCUGGGUGUGCCUGUGAGAUUGUUGCCAAAGGAGAUUAACAUUUGACUCGGUGGAUUGGGAAAGGCAGACCCACCCUCAAUCUUGAGUGGGCAUAAUCUAAUUGGCUGCUAGUGUGGCCAGAAUAAAAGUAGCAGAAGAAUGUGAAAAGACUAGACUGGCUUAGUCUUCCAGCCUACAUCUUUCUCCCGUGCUGGGUGCUUCCUGCCCUCAAACAUUGGACUCCAAGUUCUUCAGUUUGGGGAAUUGAACUAGCUUCCUUCCUCCUCAGCUUGCAGACAGCCUACUGUGGGACCUCACCUCAUGAUCAUGUGCUCAUGGCCUGCUGAAGACUGAUGUUGGAACAGAAGAGCUGAGAAACACACCUGCCCCUACCUCAAGCCCUGCACCAAGUAAAAGUCAGCAGCAAUAUACCCUGGGGAAAGGGCUAGAGUGUGGCUGGAGAUCUUGCUGAAAGCUGGAGGUGGAGGAGGAAUACAAAGAUAAGAUUUUAGGACUCCAGGCUUCACAGUAAGUAAAAGUAACAGUCAUCUACCACUGGAGAAUCUUGAAGUCUGGUAGACUGAAAUUAACUAGAGCAACAUACAACCAAACACAAGACAGCUACUGGAAUGAUUGAACCAAGUGUACCAAUGACCUGAAAGAAGCAUGCCCAUUUCCAGGAAUAAAUCCUUUUUAUAUCAGUCUGUCUGUACACCAUGUCUACCAUUCAACAAAAACUUAGGAGAGACAAAAUAAAACAAGAAAAAAAAAACCUCAUUGUCCAGAGGCAAAAGUAAUCCAGAGGCAAAACAGAUUGAGAAAUCAUCUAGUGGCUGGAAUUAUUACACAGUAAUUUAAAACUAACUAUAAUUUGUUUAACGGCAUAGUAGAUGAGAUAAAUGGGAUGCAUGAACAGAUAAGGACUUUCAGAGAGAUUACAACUUUACGAAGGAGUCAAAUGGAAAUGCUAGAAAUGAAAAAUACCAUAUCAGAAAUAAGUAAUUUCAUCAAUUAGCCUACAAGCAGACUGGAUACAGCAAAAGAAAACCAAUCAGUGAUCUUGAAGACAGGUAAACAGGAAUUAUGGCAAUGGUAACGCAAAGAAAAAACGAUGACUCCUUCUACAUCUGUUGUUCAAGGUUCAGACUCAAUAUGCAACUAAUUUAUGAAGCCCGUUUAGACCACAACAACCCUGAUGCAAGAUGUUCUCCACUAUGUUAAGAUGCAGCAUGAAGCCCUUACCAGAAGCUAAGAGUAUUCCGUUAGAGCAACACAAAACAGACUAAGACAACUUGUUCAUUACUGAUGUACAGAUUUCACUGACCAGCAACACUCCAGUGAAACUGCAGUCAAAAUUUAUGGAGUCUGCAGUAAAUAUGAAGCUAAAGUAACAGGCAAUGAAGAGCUCACCUGCUGCCUCCAGGGCUGCUUAACAUGCUGCAACCAGGCUGAAUGGUGCAUAUUGGACUGGAACCUGGAUCCUUGAGUAAAUGAAAGGAGAAAAGCCCCUAUCCAGUAUAUCAGAUUUGUGUAAACCAAAAAAUAAACUUUCAAUAUGGUAACUAAACUGGAAUAACGCAUAUGACGGGGGAGAGUUCCCUGACCCUCUUGCGAGUCUUGCCACAGGGAGGGUGUGGAGGGUUGGUGGUAGCUUGUUUUGCUUUGUUGCUGAACUCAAGCCCCUUGCAGGAGUGGGAGCAUGCAGCUGAAUUAAGCUGACCUGUGUAACUCACAAGACAUUGCAGGAAUGACGGUGUGUGUGCUCAGGCUGAACAUAAAAGACUCUGAGACUUCUGCCUUGCCCUCUUGUAGCACUCUCCAGGAAAAGCUGCCUGCUAGAUAACAUGAAGACACGCCAGCAGCCUCAUGGGGGUGGAGGGAAGAGAGGCCUCAUGGUGAGGGACUGAGGCCUCCUACUAAAAGCCAGCACUAACUUGUCAGGCAUGAAAGUGAGCCACCUGGAAGCACAUCUUCAGCCCCUGUGGACCCUUUAGAUGACUGCAGGCCCUGCUGACAUCUUGACUGAAACCUCAUGAGACAGCUAGAACCAGAAUCGCCCAGAGAGAAGAACAUCAAAGGUGCGGGUUUAGGGCCCAGAAAGCCACUGGCCCCUUAAUAUCCAGAAAAGGACAAAAACUCACGGGAGUCAAGCACUGUUUGCCUGGAAGAAGAAAGAUAAAGACACAGACAAGCCCUGCUCCCCCACCAGCCAAAACUACUAUUCUACCUGUUUCCUGAUUCUGACCCACGUAUAUUCACUUGUUUCAUCAUUUUCUCAUUCAAAAAUAUAUUCAUUCAAUUAAUAAUGAUUUACUGAGUGUGUAUUAUGUAGCCAGUGCUUGCAUGGAACUCAGAUUACAGCUGGAAAUGAAACAGAUCUGGUCUUACACCCUCUGUACAUCUUCUUCCUCCUGUUACCACUCUAUCCUGUCUUCAACCUCAACUUCACUACUAAUUUCAUACUUAA